GAGAAAAUAGCGCAGCAGACACACUGAGCACAGGGAGGUGUUCACCCCGAGAGAGCUCCACGGAUCCACGAAGGGACAGGUUGGGGUCUCACCUCCCAUAUCACACUCACACCAGAGCCUACGCACAAGCAGAGAGAACCCAACCCUUAGGGAGUUUUCAUUGUUGAGGAUAGGAAGAGGAAGGAGUUGAGCAGACAAUAAACACAGAAACAAACAAGAUGUUUUCAGAUACUGUUUUGGUGAGCAUGGGUCAGAGUACCUGAAGCUGAUCGAUUAUAGGCCCACUGAGCAGAUGGAGUUUCUUGACCUGCUAACCCAAGAACAAAGUUUUGACUCAGGGACCACCAACCCCGUGAGGCCCUCUCUGGCUGUUCCUCUGGUUUCCCACGGUGUGUCAUCUUAUCUUCUCAAAAGAUGUAACCUCAUACUUGGUGAUGAGUUCAUAGCAGAUGUUAAUAGUAUUUUGUACAGAAGCCUUUUUGCCAAUUCUUAGCAGAAUCCUUUACCCAUCAAAGUUGAAAAUGCUGUAUACUAGUCAUUC